rnacentral:snRNA from 1 species
UUCAUUAAUGCUUCUACAUGAAG